rnacentral:rRNA from 1 species
CCUACGGGAGGCAGCAGUGAGGAAUAUUGGUCAAUGGACGAGAGUCUGAACCAGCCAAGUAGCGUGAAGGAUGACUGCCCUAUGGGUUGUAAACUUCUUUUAUAAAGGAAUAAAACGAGGCACGUGUGCCUUUUUGCAUGUACUUUAUGAAUAAGGAUCGGCUAACUCCGUGCCAGCAGCCGCGGUAAUACGGAGGAUCCGAGCGUUAUCCGGAUUUAUUGGGUUUAAAGGGAGCGUAGAUGGUUUGUUAAGUCAGUUGUGAAAGUUUGCGGCUCAACCGGAAAACUGCAAUUGAUACUGGCAGUCUUGAGUACAGUUGAGGUAGGCGGAAUGCGAGGUGUAGCGGUGAAAUGCUUAGAUAUCACGAAGAACCCCGAUUGCGAAGGCAGCUUACUAAACUGAGACUGACAUUGAUGUGCGAAAGUGUGGGUAGCAAACAGGAUUAGAUACCCCAGUAGUC